rnacentral:rRNA from 1 species
UACGUAGGGUGCGAGCGUUAAUCGGAAUUACUGGGCGUAAAGGGCUCGUAGGCGGCCAACUAAGUCAGACGUGAAAUCCCCAGGCUCAACCUGGGAACUGCGUCUGAUACUGGAUGGCUUGAAUUCGGGAGAGGGAUGCAGAAUUCCAGGUGUAGCGGUGAAAUGCGCAGAUAUCAGGAGGAACACCAAUGGCGAAGGCAGCUCACUGGGACGAUACUGACGCUGAGACGCGAAAGCGUGGGGAGCAAACAGG